GACGAACGCUGGCGGCGUGCUUAACACAUGCAAGUCGAACGGAAAGGCCCUGCUUUUGUGGGGUGCUCGAGUGGCGAACGGGUGAGUAACACGUGAGUAACCUGCCCUUGACUUUGGGAUAACUUCAGGAAACUGGGGCUAAUACCGGAUAGGAGCUCCUGCUGCAUGGUGGGGGUUGGAAAGUUUCGGCGGUUGGGGAUGGACUCGCGGCUUAUCAGCUUGUUGGUGGGGUAGUGGCUUACCAAGGCUUUGACGGGUAGCCGGCCUGAGAGGGUGACCGGCCACAUUGGGACUGAGAGACGGCCCAGACUCCUACGGGAGGCAACAGUGGGGAAUAUUGCACAAUGGGCGGAAGCCUGAUGCAGCAACGCCGCGUGCGGGAUGACGGCCUUCGGGUUGUAAACCGCUUUCGCCUGUGACGAAGCGUGAGUGACGGUAAUGGGUAAAGAAGCACCGGCUAACUACGUG
rnacentral:rRNA from 1 species